CAUGGUUCAGAUGGGGCCUUGUCAUUCCAGCACUAUGGCCUACUACCUGUAGGGAGAAAGAAAGAGAGCGGCAGGGAGAGAAAAGCCUUCUACGAUUGGCUCCUCUGCCAUGCUUCCAAGUUUGAGUUCUCCAUGUGCAACCAAAAGCUGUUCCUGAGUGACACCACAUCAAGCACUGCUUUCUUAAGCAAUUUAACUGGUUGGAUUCAAAAGAUGCUGAGAUGAAAUAAAAGAAACUCAUAAUUCUACUGUGUAACCCACCAGGAAGUUUUCUCUUUGCAC
rnacentral:lncRNA from 11 species